AGCUUUGUGCAGUGGCAGGAUAGUAGCCAGUGAGGUUUAUCCGAGGUGCGAUUAUUGCUAAUUGAAAAGACAGGAAUUAAGGAAGAAACAAAAAG
ensembl:snRNA U4 U4 spliceosomal RNA